AGCGAACGCUGGCGGCAGGCCUAACACAUGCAAGUCGAACGGCAGCACAGAGGAGCUUGCUCCUUGGGUGGCGAGUGGCGGACGGGUGAGGAAUACAUCGGAAUCUACUCUUUCGUGGGGGAUAACGUAGGGAAACUUACGCUAAUACCGCAUACGCCCUUCGGGGGAAAGCAGGGGAUCGCACGACCUUGCGCGCUUGAGUGAGCCGAUGUCGGAUUAGCUAGUUGGCGGGGUAACGGCACACCAAGGCGACGAUCCGUAGCUGGUCUGAGGGGAUGAUCAGCCACACUGGAACGGAGACACGGUCCAGACUCCUACGGGAGGCAGCAGUGGGGAAUAUUGGACAAUGGGCGCAAGCCUGAUCCAGCCAUACCGCGUGGGUGAAGAAGGCCUUCGGGUUGUAAAGCCCUUUUGUUGGGAAAGAAAAGCAUUCGGUUAAUACCCGAGUGUUCUGACGGUACCCAAAGAAUAAGCACCGGCUAACUUCGUGCCAGCCGCCGCUGUAACAC
rnacentral:rRNA from 1 species